UAGCCCCUGCGGUGUGCGAGGCGGUGAUUGUAUUUGAAAGAACCGAUGCCCUCACAUAGGGAGGUCAGGUCUUGGCGGAUCGGAAACGCCUGCCCGACAGGACUUUCGGACACAAGCAACGACUGCCCACUUUGAUUUAGAGGGUUCUUUUCAAACGCGCCGUUCACGGCAGUUGCGGAGGUUGG
rnacentral:other from 1 species